GUGAGGAAUAUUGCGCAAUGGAGGCAACUCUGACGCAGCCAUGCCGCGUGCAGGAAGAAGGCGCUACGCGUUGUAAACUGCUUUUAACCGGGAAGAAACCCCAGGACGUGUCCUGGGUUGACGGUACCGGAGGAAUAAGCACCGGCUAACUUCGUGACAGCAGCCGCGGUAAUACGAAGGGUGCAAGCGUUAUCCGGAUUCAUUGGGUUUAAAGGGUGCGUAGGCGGAGCGUUAAGUCAGUGGUGAAAUCCUGCAGCUUAACUGUAGACUUGCCAUUGAUACUGGCGCUCUUGAGUGCGCUUGAAGUGGGCGGAAUGUGCCGUGUAGCGGUGAAAUGCUUAGAUAUGGCACAGAACACCAAUUGCGAAGGCAGCUCACUAAGGCGAUACUGACGCUGAGGCACGAAAGCGUGGGGAUCGAACAGGAUUAGAUACCCUAGUAGUCC
rnacentral:rRNA from 1 species